rfam:Trichobilharzia regenti genome assembly, scaffold: TRE_scaffold0000968
AUUCAGCUGACAAGUCCCAAAUAGGACGAAAUGUGCAACCUGGAU